rnacentral:rRNA from 1 species
CCUACGGGCGGCAGCAGUGGGGGAUAUUGCACAAUGGGGGGAACCCUGAUGCAGCGACGCCGCGUGGGUGAAGAAGCGCCUCGGCGCGUAAAGCCCUGGCAGCAGGGAAGAAAAUGACGGUAACUGAAGAAGAAGCCGCGGCUAACUACGUGCCAGCAGCCGCGGUAAUAAGUAGGGGGAAAGCGUUAUCCGGGUUUACUGGGUGUAAAGGGGGCGCAGGCGGUGAGGGAAGCCAGGAGGGAAAGCCAGGGGCCCACCCCCGGGACUGCUCAUGAAAGGGCGUGGUUGGAGUGCAGGAGGGGCAGGCGGAAUUCCUGGUGUAGCGGUGACAUGCGUAGAUAUCAGGAGGAACACCCGUGGCGAAGGCGGCCUGCUGGACUGCAACUGACGUUGAGGCCCGAAAGCGUGGGGAGCAAACAGGAUUAGAUACCCUAGUAGUC